CCUACGGGAGGCUGCAGUGGGGAAUAUUGGACAAUGGGGGGAACCCUGAUCCAGCCAUGCCGCGUGUGUGAAGAAGGCCCUCGGGUUGUAAAGCACUUUCAGUGAGGAAGAACCCCUGGUGGUUAAUACCCAUCAGGAAAGACAUCACUCACAGAAGAAGCACCGGCUAACUCCGUGCCAGCAGCCGCGGUAUUACGGAGGGUGCGAGCGUUAAUCGGAAUUACUGGGCGUAAAGCGCGCGUAGGUGGCUUGAUAAGCCGGUUGUGAAAGCCCCGGGCUCAACCUGGGAACGGCAUCCGGAACUGUCAAGCUAGAGUGCAGGAGAGGAAGGUAGAAUUCCCGGUGUAGCGGUGAAAUGCGUAGAGAUCGGGAGGAAUACCAGUGGCGAAGGCGGCCUUCUGGACUGACACUGACACUGAGGUGCGAAAGCGUGGGUAGCAAACAGGAUUAGAUACCCUGGUAGUC
rnacentral:rRNA from 1 species